rnacentral:tRNA from 1 species
GGCAGCAUGGCUCAGUGGAAAGAGCACGGGCUUGGGAGUCAGAGGUCAUGGGUUCAAAUCCCGGCUCUGCCA